GGGCUAUUAGCUCAAUAGGUAGAGCAGCUGACUCUUAAUCAGUUGGUUCGGUGUUCGAGUCACCGAUGGCCCACCA
rnacentral:tRNA from 1 species